rnacentral:rRNA from 1 species
GGGUUGUGAGGUUAAGCGACUAAGCGUACACGGUGGAUGCCCUGGCAGUCAGAGGCGAUGAAGGGCGUGCUAAUCUGCGAUAAGCGCCGGUAAGGUGAUAUGAACCGUUAUAACCGGCGAUACCCGAAUGGGGAAACCCAGUGUGAUUCGUCACACUAUCAUUAACUGAAUCCAUAGGUUAAUGAGGCGAACCGGGGGAACUGAAACAUCUAAGUACCCCGAGGAAAAGAAAUCAACCGAGAUUCCCCCAGUAGCGGCGAGCGAACGGGGAGGAGCCCAGAGCCUGAAUCAGCAUGUGUGUUAGUGGAAGCGUCUGGAAAGGCGCGCGAUACAGGGUGACAGCCCCGUACACAAAAGCGCAUGUGCUGUGAGCUCGAUGAGUAGGGCGGGACACGUGGUAUCCUGUCUGAAUAUGGGGGGACCAUCCUCCAAGGCUAAAUACUCCUGACUGACCGAUAGUGAACCAGUACCGUGAGGGAAAGGCGAAAAGAACCCCGGCGAGGGGAGUGAAAAAGAACCUGAAACCGUGUACGUACAAGCAGUGGGAGCACAGGUUUACCUGUGUGACUGCGUACCUUUUGUAUAAUGGGUCAGCGACUUAUAUUCUGUAGCAAGGUUAACCGUAUAGGGGAGCCGGAGGGAAACCGAGUCUUAACCGGGCGUUAAGUUGCAGGGUAUAGACCCGAAACCCGGUGAUCUAGCCAUGGGCAGGUUGAAGGUUGGGUAACACUAACUGGAGGACCGAACCGACUAAUGUUGAAAAAUUAGCGGAUGACCUGUGGCUGGGGGUGAAAGGCCAAUCAAACCGGGAGAUAGCUGGUUCUCCCCGAAAGCUAUUUAGGUAGCGCCUCGUGAAUUCAUCUCCGGGGGUAGAGCACUGUUUCGGCUAGGGGGCCAUCCCGGCUUACCAACCCGAUGCAAACUGCGAAUACCGGAGAAUGUUAUCACGGGAGACACACGGCGGGUGCUAACGUCCGUCGUGAAGAGGGAAACAACCCAGACCGCCAGCUAAGGUCCCAAAGUCAUGGUUAAGUGGGAAACGAUGUGGGAAGGCCCAGACAGCCAGGAUGUUGGCUUAGAAGCAGCCAUCAUUUAAAGAAAGCGUAAUAGCUCACUGGUCGAGUCGGCCUGCGCGGAAGAUGUAACGGGGCUAAACCAUGCACCGAAGCUGCGGCAGCGACACUUAUGCGUUGUUGGGUAGGGGAGCGUUCUGUAAGCCUGUGAAGGUGUGUCGUGAGGCAUGCUGGAGGUAUCAGAAGUGCGAAUGCUGACAUAAGUAACGAUAAAGCGGGUGAAAAGCCCGCUCGCCGGAAGACCAAGGGUUCCUGUCCAACGUUAAUCGGGGCAGGGUGAGUCGACCCCUAAGGCGAGGCCGAAAGGCGUAGUCGAUGGGAAACGGGUUAAUAUUCCCGUACUUGGUGUUACUGCGAAGGGGGGACGGAGAAGGCUAUGUUGGCCGGGCGACGGUUGUCCCGGUUUAAGCGUGUAGGUGGUGUUCCAGGUAAAUCCGGUCCACUUUAACACUGAGGCGUGACGACGAGGCACUACGGUGCUGAAGCAACAAAUGCCCUGCUUCCAGGAAAAGCCUCUAAGCAUCAGGUAACAUCAAAUCGUACCCCAAACCGACACAGGUGGUCAGGUAGAGAAUACCAAGGCGCUUGAGAGAACUCGGGUGAAGGAACUAGGCAAAAUGGUGCCGUAACUUCGGGAGAAGGCACGCUGACACGUAGGUGAAGUGAUUUACUCAUGGAGCUGAAGUCAGUCGAAGAUACCAGCUGGCUGCAACUGUUUAUUAAAAACACAGCACUGUGCAAACACGAAAGUGGACGUAUACGGUGUGACGCCUGCCCGGUGCCGGAAGGUUAAUUGAUGGGGUCAGCGCAAGCGAAGCUCCUGAUCGAAGCCCCGGUAAACGGCGGCCGUAACUAUAACGGUCCUAAGGUAGCGAAAUUCCUUGUCGGGUAAGUUCCGACCUGCACGAAUGGCGUAAUGAUGGCCAGGCUGUCUCCACCCGAGACUCAGUGAAAUUGAACUCGCUGUGAAGAUGCAGUGUACCCGCGGCAAGACGGAAAGACCCCGUGAACCUUUACUAUAGCUUGACACUGAACAUUGAGCCUUGAUGUGUAGGAUAGGUGGGAGGCUUUGAAGCGUGGACGCCAGUCUGCGUGGAGCCGACCUUGAAAUACCACCCUUUAAUGUUUGAUGUUCUAACGUGGACCCGUAAUCCGGGUUGCGGACAGUGUCUGGUGGGUAGUUUGACUGGGGCGGUCUCCUCCUAAAGAGUAACGGAGGAGCACGAAGGUUGGCUAAUCCUGGUCGGACAUCAGGAGGUUAGUGCAAUGGCAUAAGCCAGCUUGACUGCGAGCGUGACGGCGCGAGCAGGUGCGAAAGCAGGUCAUAGUGAUCCGGUGGUUCUGAAUGGAAGGGCCAUCGCUCAACGGAUAAAAGGUACUCCGGGGAUAACAGGCUGAUACCGCCCAAGAGUUCAUAUCGACGGCGGUGUUUGGCACCUCGAUGUCGGCUCAUCACAUCCUGGGGCUGAAGUAGGUCCCAAGGGUAUGGCUGUUCGCCAUUUAAAGUGGUACGCGAGCUGGGUUUAGAACGUCGUGAGACAGUUCGGUCCCUAUCUGCCGUGGGCGCUGGAGAACUGAGGGGGGCUGCUCCUAGUACGAGAGGACCGGAGUGGACGCAUCACUGGUGUUCGGGUUGUCAUGCCAAUGGCACUGCCCGGUAGCUAAAUGCGGAAGAGAUAAGUGCUGAAAGCAUCUAAGCACGAAACUUGCCCCGAGAUGAGUUCUCCCUGAGACUUAGAGUCUCCUGAAGGAACGUUGAAGACGACGACGUUGAUAGGCCGGGUGUGUAAGCGCAGCGAUGCGUUGAGCUAACCGGUACUAAUGAACCGUGAGGCUUAACCUUACAACGCCGAAG